rnacentral:rRNA from 1 species
UUUUNNCAUGGGCGAAAGCCUGNUGGAGCAAUGCCGCGUGCAGGAUGACGGCCUUCGGGUUGUAAACUGCUUUUGCGAACAAAGAUUAUGACGGUACUUCGCGAAUAAGGCGCUGCUAACUACGUGCCAGCAGCAGCGGUAAUACGUAGGCGCCAAGCGUUAUCCGGAUUCACUUGGGCGUAAAGCGUCCGCAGGUUGAUUUGUAAGUCUGAUGUUAAAGAUCUCGGCUUAACCGAGGGAAGGUACCAGAAACUGCAAAUCUAGAGGCCAGUAGGGGCUGUCGGAACUUAUCGAGUAGGGGUAAUAUCCGUUGAUACGAUAAGGAACACCAAAGGCGAAGGCAGACAGCUGGGCUGGCCCUGACACUCAGGGACGAAAGCGUGGGGAGCGAACGGGAUUAGAUACCCCGGUAGUCCACGCCCUAAACGAUGGUCACUAGGCAUUGGCGGUUUCGACCCCCCCAGUGCCGAAGCUAACGCGUUAAGUGACCCGCCUGGGGAGUACGAUCGCAAGAUUAAAACUCAAAAGAAUUGACGGA